AUUCAAAUGAAGUCCAGAAAUGAUGUUUUCAAUCAUCUCAAAUGCAAUGGUAAAAGUAGUAAUUUGUACAACUGGUUCAGUUGUUUCAGAAUUGUUCAGUUGAAAGGGACUGCCUGAUAUCUUUAAGGCUAACCAAACAAUUGUGUUCAUUACAUAACAAGCUCAGAUGGGGAUCCUCAGUCAUCCAGGAAUCUUAGAGAUGAUCAUGGACUGUCCUGAAGGCAAAAAUUUUGAAACAUCACCAGGAGAAGAGAUGGAUCAUGUCAUACUGUGGGGAAGCAUCACGGAUGGAAAGCUGUGUGGAGCCCCACAUGACAAGUUGCAGAGGCCACUGAAGGAAAAGGGGAAUCAAGCCAAUUUGCAGAGGUUAUUCAUGACUGUGAAACGUGCCAUAAUUAAACAAGCCAAGAGGAUGAAACCUCUCUGCGGAGAAGGAUGACGGCAAAACUAUAAAUAUGGAAGAGAAGAACUACACAUCCCAGAUGACUUCAUGUUCAGAGAGGAAAACAAGCCAUGGGAGAAUGUUAUGAUAUCUCACUCUCUGGCUCUUUCACUCGCUGCCUGGAAGUGUGUGGGUGUGCUCCCCAGCUGGUGCGCCUUCAUUUCAAUGUUAUAUUAGCAUCCAUGAAGUUCAACAUUCUUGUGAACAGAGCAAGGUUCUAAAAAAGGUAAAACAGAGACAAAAAAGUCAAAGACAGUUCAUAGCUCCUACAAGAUUGAAGUUGGAAUCAUGCAGAGAUGUAUACAUUAUUUUAGU
rnacentral:lncRNA from 1 species